rnacentral:rRNA from 1 species
CUGGCGGCGUGCUCAUACAUGCAAGUCGAACGAUAAGGUACCUUCGGGAAGUACAUAAGUGGCGGACGGGUGAGUAAUAUGUAGAGAAUCUGCCUUCAAGCGGGGGACGAACAGAGGGAAACUUCUGCUAAUACCCCAUAUGAGCGUACCUGUGAUGGUAUUCUUGAAAGCUCCGGCGCUUGGAGAUGAGUCUGCAUCUGAUUAGCUAGUUGGGGGUGUAAUGGACCACCAAGGCGACGAUCAGUAGCUGGUUUGAGAGGAUGAUCAGCCACAAUGGGACUGAGACACGGCCCAUACUCCUACGGGAGGCAGCAGUAGGGAAUUUUGCGCAAUGGGCGAAAGCCUGACGCAGCCAACGCCGCGUGAUCGCAGACGGCCUUCGGGUUGUAAAGAUCUGUCAGUAGGGACGAACAAUGACUGUACCUACAGAGGAAGCACCGGCUAACUCCGUGCCAGCCGCGGC